AUUGAACGCUGGCGGCAUGCCUUACACAUGCAAGUCGAGCGGCAGCGCGGGGGCAACCCUGGCGGCGAGCGGCGGACGGGUGAGUAAUGCAUCGGAACGUGUCCUCUUGUGGGGGAUAACCAGUCGAAAGAUUGGCUAAUACCGCAUGAGCUCGUAAGAGGAAAGCGGGGGAUCCGUAAGGACCUCGCGCGAGAGGAGCGGCCGAUGCCCGAUUAGCUAGUUGGGGGGUAACGGCCUACCAAGGCGACGAUCGGUAGCUGGUCUGAGAGGACGGACCAGCCACACUGGGACUGAGACACGGCCCAGACUCCUACGGGAGGCAGCAGUGGGGAAUUUUGGACAAUGGCGAAAGCCUGAUCCAGCCAUGCCGCGUGUGUGAAGAAGGCCU
rnacentral:rRNA from 1 species